GAUGAACGCUGGCGGCGUGCCUAAUACAUGCGAGUCGAGCGAACAGACGAGGAGCUUGCUCCUCUGACGUUAGCGGCGGACGGGUGAGUAACACGUGGAUAACCUACCUAUAAGACUGGGAUAACUUCGGGAAACCGGAGCUAAUACCGGAUAAUAUAUUGAACCGCAUGGUUCAAUAGUGAAAGACGGUUUUGCUGUCACUUAUAGAUGGAUCCGCGCCGCAUUAGCUAGUUGGUAAGGUAACGGCUUACCAAGGCAACGAGGCGUAGCCGACCUGAGAGGGUGAGCGGCCACACUGGAACUGAGACACGGUCCAGACUCCUACGGGAGGCAGCAGUAGGGAAUCUUCCGCAAUGGGCGAAAGCGUGACGGAGCAACGCCGCGUGAGUGAUGAAGGUCUUCGGAUCGUAAAACUCUGUUAUUAGGGAAGAACAAAUGUGUAAGUAACUAUGCACGUCUUGACGGUACCUAAACAGAAAGCCACGGCUAACUACGUG
rnacentral:rRNA from 1 species